GACGAACGCUGGCGGCGUGCCUAAUACAUGCAAGUCGAGCGGAAUGAUGAAGAAGCUUGCUUCUUCUGAUUUUAGCGGCGGACGGGUGAGUAACACGUGGGCAACCUACCUUGUAGAUUGGGAUAACUCCGGGAAACCGGGGCUAAUACCGAAUAAUCCAUUUUGCUUCAUGGCAAGAUGUUAAAAGGCGGCUUCGGCUGUCACUACGAGAUGGGCCCGCGGCGCAUUAGCUAGUUGGUAGGGUAAUGGCCUACCAAGGCGACGAUGCGUAGCCGACCUGAGAGGGUGAUCGGCCACACUGGGACUGAGACACGGCCCAGACUCCUACGGGAGGCAGCAGUAGGGAAUCUUCCACAAUGGACGAAAGUCUGAUGGAGCAACGCCGCGUGAGUGAAGAAGGUUUUCGGAUCGUAAAACUCUGUUGUAAGGGAAGAACACGUACGAGAGUAACUGCUCGUACCUUGACGGUACCUUAUUAGAAAGCCACGGCUAACUACGUG
rnacentral:rRNA from 1 species